rnacentral:rRNA from 1 species
UUGAAAGUCUGGCCUGCCCAAUGAUUAGUUUUAAAUGGCCGCAGUAUUUUAACUGUGCAAAGGUAGCAUAAUCAUUAGUUUUUUAAUUGGAAGCUGGAAUGAAGGGUUGGAUAAGAGAAAUUCUGUCUUAAUUUUAAUAUUAUAAUUUUAUUUUUAAGUUAAAAAGCUUAAAUUUUUUAAAAAGACGAGAAGACCCUAUAGAGUUUAAUUUAGUUGAUUGUAUACUAUAUUGGGGUUUAAUUUUAUUAUAUAAUUAAAGUAAUUUUAUUGGGGUGAUGUAAAAAUUUAUUUAACUUUUUAUUUAUUUAUACAUUAAUUAGUGAAUAUUUGAUCUUAAUUUUUGGAUUAGAAGAAUAAAUUACCUUAGGGAUAACAGCGUAAUUUUUUUUAGAGUUCUUAU